CGUGCCCGCCCCGCCCCGGCGCGCUGCGUAUUUAGCGGGAUCCCGGCGGGAAUCGGCCUUUCCCUUUCCGAGGGAGCCGGAGCUGGAUCGGCCGCGCCUGCCCGCCUCCAGCCGGGGUGCGUGCCUCGGCAGAAAGUGAAGCUCAAGAUGAGUUUGUUGCUGGCUUUGGGAAUCCUCAGUCUGGACUCUGCCAUGCCUUGCAAGCAGAAAGAUGCCACGUGAAUUCUGGAGCUACAGAAGUUCUGUGACAUCAGAUGACCACCACCACCUCCCAGCCUUGUGUGUCCACAUAGGGCCAACAGGAGAGUCCACUACCCACUUGUGGAAGUGUGGGUGUUUAAGGAGCUUGAAAACAGCAGCCUGGAAUGUGGAAUUCUAAUGCACUUGGAAAUGCUUCCAUUGUCCUUCCUGCUUGUCAGAAAUCCUGCUUGGUUCCAUAGUGCAGCAGGGAGUAGCUGUUCACUGAAAAUGAAUAAUCCUGGAAUGAAAUGCAGGGUAGAAUGUCUCUCUAGAAAGAGAAGCAGCCUGCUGGGCAGUCUGAGAUCUUAGUAUCAAUUUUGAGUGUAUCAAAUAAAUGGAUCAAAAGUGAAUAAGGCAAAGACUAAAAUGUGAGAAAACUUGUGUUGUCUAAAUGAGCGUUUACAGUGUCAAUAGUGGGUAUGAAUAAAAUCUUGGAUUUCUGUU